ensembl:lncRNA
UCCUCUUAAAGUUUUUUGAAGAAAAAGAAGAGCUUUUAAGGGAAAGCAGUUCCUUUAAAAACAAGUCAAUGUGGUACUAACUCCCCUGUUUCUCAGAAGUCAGCUAAUAUUUCACAGCUUCAUUAGAAAGUAGUUUCCCUUAAAAUAUUACCUCAUGACCUUUACAUACUGAAAAAGAAAAUGAUCUUAUUUGUGCACUUCAGACUUUGAUUUUCUUGACCAAUAAGGACUUUUCACAAAUCAUUUAACGUGCAUCUUCAUCUGUUUUCUGAAGAUAUUUUUAUGUAGUACACUUCCACGGGUUGUACAAGACCAGAUGAAAAUAUUAUUUUUGACAAUAACACAUACUUAAAAAAAGAAAAAAUAAAAGAAAAAAUAAAACUUAUCUCAUUCUGAACUUGGACUGACCAUUAUAAAACCACACACCAGUUAAUCCAGUGACAUUUCCCACAUAGAGUUUUUGAUUUAUCUUUACCAACUUAAAAUAACAGCGUGGAAAAGAAAUAUGACAAGAAACACACAGAAAAUAUUAAAGAUAUAUGCACAAGAAAAACUCCCAUUAAGCUGUUGAUAACCUGAUGGUAGCCUGCUUGACUUGCAAGCAGAGGAUUCUUAUCUAAAUCCUACUUGUUAAACACAAUGCCACUGAUAGUGGAAGUAGGGGGUGUGCUUUAAUGCUGAAUUUUAUGCUUUCACCAGUAUGUGUGUACCCCACCUCUCUUACAUUUUAAAAGUCCUCUAGAGUUACUGUAAACAUCCUGUAUGUUUUGAUGUUAUGUAUGCUUUUAUAAGAGGAUAAAUAUUUCAAAGAAAACGACCCUUUUCAAACAAACAAAAAAAAAUGUAUGUGGAUAUAUUUGACAUGUGUGUUUAUCUUUUGGUGGGUUAUCUUGCAUUCCUGACGGCUAUGCUGUGGUUGUUGUUUCUUAAAAAAAAAAAAAAAAAAAAAAAGUCCAGUUUCAAUAACUGUGCAAAGUACAAGCCAUGAGGUGUGCAAUUUUGUGCAAACUGCUGGUAAUUUUGUUCUUGCAAAGAUUUAUUAUAAAGACAGCAAGUCAUGGUGGUAGUUGUUAUGGAGGAAUGAGAACUAUCUGGCUGUCUUCCUGGGAAUCCUGUAGUCAUCUCUCUUAAUUGAGAAAGAGGACAGGUGUGCUUUGCUCUCAUAAUGUAUACAAAUGUGGCCAAUAUUUUUAUAAAAUAGUCGUGUUGGUUGGUAUAGCUGUGGCUGUAUGGAACAGCUAUCUUUGCCUGCUAAUCAGCUGUCAGCAACUGGUUUAAUUCAAGCAUCUUUGAUUCUCUGAACAACACACAACAUGUUUCUGGAUGUUGAAAUUGCAGUUUUGGAUUCCCAUCAUGAAAAGCAAAGAGCAGAGUUUGUCAGGAGUGAGGCCAGCCUUGGCCAGCUGCAGCAAGGAUGGUGCUCCUUAGGUGUUGCACAGGACAGAACAGGGACAGACCUGGGCCCACACUCUCUCUUUUUCUAGGCAGCAUCAUUCAGAGUUCAGAAGAUGUGUCCAAAGUGUGCCAAGUUCCUUUUUUUGACCAAAUUUCUAGGUUGUACUGGAAUCACUCUAUGCAACACAGAUUCAUAUUUGAAUGCGUUUUUUUUCCUUUUUUUUUUCCCUUGUUUUAUGAAUGAAGUCAGGAAAAACUCUCUUGUGACAAUGUUUUUUAAAAAAUAAUCAAACAAGGACUAUUAGUAUUUUUUUACUUUUUGUAUAUAUCUUGGUAUAUUUUUUUCACUUUUUUCUCAUUAUUUUUUGUUUCUGUUAUCUGGCCAAAAAAAUGCUUAGAUGUGACAUCUGCUUUUAUCAUAUAUGAGUGAUUGGUUAUUAAUGAGUUUGCACAUUCUGACAAUUGCUUUAAAGAUGCAUAGUUCAGGUAGGCAAUAGCACAGGCAUUUAAACUUUUUUAUUCACAAAUUUGCUGAGUCGACGGAGAUUGAAGCUGCUUCUUUGUUCAAAGCCUUGUGUAGUGGAAACAAGCUGAAAAAUGAGCAAAAGCACAGUGUGUGUGUUUACAAAUGACAGGGAUUUCUAACAUGGUCAUUAUUAUUAUGCAUACAAUGAGCAGCAAUUAACUACAUAUGGGUUUUUUUCCAGAUUAAAAAUAGACAUGAGAGUUUCUAUGAUGAAUGUUGAGCUAGUUCUUUUUAUCAUUACACUUUAAAGGGAUAGUAUCCAGGGGCAAUGAGUGCUGCUUCUUUAUUACCCACAUUUUUACAUUGCAUGGAUCUAUUGUGGAAGAAACAAAAACCCAAUCCAAACCAGUUGAAGUCAGAAACAACUGUUCUCUUGACUUAACCUGGCUUUAAAUCAAGACCUAGGAAAUAUCUGAGUUAUUUUUCUGGAUGCUGGGUGUCUGCAUGGUUGUGGGAUAUGGUAGCUGGUAACCAGCUGAUAAUGAUCCUUUCUUUGAGGAUGAUGAUGAAGAAAAAGAAGACAUCUACUAUAUUGUAAGAUUCAUCAGAGAAAACAAUACAGACUUGCUCUGAAGGUUGUAAAAACUGAAACUAAAGUGGUAUGAGAAUUGUACAAAAAUGCUUGUAAAUCUGUCUGUUUUCACUGUAUGUAUAAAUCCAUGUCAUGUUUUUGUGAUUGUAUACAGGAUGUAUCUUGAGAAAUUAUGCAAAUUGUGCUGUAUAAAGGCUGUUACUUCAGUCUGACAAAUAAAAAUUUAAAAUAU